rnacentral:rRNA from 1 species
GGCGGACGGGUGAGUAACGCGUGAGAAUCUGCCCUCAGGAGGGGGACAACAGCUGGAAACGGCUGCUAAUACCCCAUAUGCCGCGAGGUGAAAUGAAUUUCGCCUGAGGAUGAGCUCGCGUCUGAUUAGCUAGUUGGUGUAGGUAAUGGCUCACCGAGGCAUCGAUCAGUAGCUGGUCUGAGAGGAUGAUCAGCCACACUGGGACUGAGACACGGCCCAGACUCCUACGGGAGGCAGCAGUGGGGAAUUUUCCGCAAUGGGCGAAAGCCUGACGGAGCAACGCCGCGUGAGGGAUGAAGGCCUCUGGGCUGUAAACCUCUUUUAUCAAGGAAGAAGAUCUGACGGUACUUGAUGAAUAAGCCACGGCUAAUUCCGUGCCAGCAGCCGCGGUAAUACGGGAGUGGCAAGCGUUAUCCGGAAUUAUUGGGCGUAAAGCGUCCGCAGGCGGUCCUUCAAGUCUGCUGUUAAAAAGUGGAGCUUAACUCCAUCAUGGCAGUGGAA